rnacentral:rRNA from 1 species
GAUGAACGCUGGCGGCGUGCUUAACACAUGCAAGUCGAACGGUGAACCCGGAGCUGGCUCUGUGGGAUCAGUGGCGAACGGGUGAGUAAGACGUGAGCAACCUACUCCUGACUCUGGGAUAAGCGCUGGAAGCGGCGUCUAAGACAGGACAUGAUACGUGACCGCAGGGACUGCGUUUGGAAAGAUUUUUCGGUUGGGGAUGGUCUCGCGGCCUAUCAGCUUCUUGGUGAGGUAGUGGAUCACCAAGGCGUCGACGGGUCGCCGGCCGGAGAGGGGGACCGGCCACCCUGCGCCUGAGCCACGGCCCAGUCGCCAACGGGAGGCAACGGGGGGGAAUAUUGCACAGCGGGAGCGAGCCUGUUGCGGAGACGCCGCGUUGGGGAUGCCGGCUUGCGGGUUGAGAACCUCAUUUGGCUGAGAAGAAGCGAAAGUGACGGUACCUAAAGAAAAAGCGCCGGCUAACUACGUG